GAUGACCGGCGCCAUGGCUCGUCCCGCCCCGGGAAGGCCCGCCCGGCCGGCGGAGGGGAGGCACUGCCCGACCGGCAAGGGAGGGAGAGCGGAGCUGUGACAGCCGCCGCCGCCGCCCCGCUGCGCGCUCCGGCGCUGUGAGGGUUUGUAAGCCCUUGGUUGUUACCACCGAGGUGCUCGAUUCUCGGGUUUGUGAAAGCUCCCGGCUAAAAAGAUAAGCAAAAGUUGGUUUUUUGAGACUGCCUGAAAAAGCUGUCCGCUAGUAAGAUCGCAGAAUGGUUUGGGUUGGAAGGGACCUUAAAGAUCACCCAGUUCCAACCCCCUGCCACGGGCAGGGACACCUUCCACUAGGAGAAAGUCUCAAAGCUUGAGCUGCCAUAACCCUUGGAAGACUCAACAUGAAGUCCACAUAGAGAAAAUUUGCUACAAAAAUCUAAUGCUGAGCAUCCAUAGCUGCUAUUGACUGAAGUGGCAGUGUCUGCUCAGGAGCUGGAAAAAAGAAAUUCACCAAAAGUGAUAAAGUCUACAAAGAAGAUACCACUGACUGGCUUGUCUGAGCAAUAUACAGAUUUUACAGUCUCUAAAGUAAAGUGCAGCCUGACAUUUAAAUUCCUGUAUCAUUUGUUUCUCCAAUUUAACAGUACUUGCAUGAAGGAAACAUCCACCCUCACCUUCAAAUAAUGACGCAAAUUAACAUCAGACAUACACCAACACGGAAGCAGCACACUGAAGCAGUGAGUAGCAGCGUGCAGCAUAGAGGCUUGAUACUGCUGGAAAAGAAGCCUCUCUCUUUCUGACUUUCAGAUAUCCCAUUUGGUUGGCUUUUAGGCAGAGGGUCAACUUUGUUGCUGGAGAAAAUGAGAAAGUGGCUCAGUGAAAGCUAUUUGUCUUAUACAGAGAAUCUGUGCACUUGACAUUGAAUUGUAAAGGAGUGGUUCCUUCAGGUAUGAAGCAAAAAUAAAAGAGUAUUUUAAUUAUAUUUUCUAAAGACAACAAUCAAUCAUAGUGAAUAUGUCUUAGUUAUAUGAAUAAUUACAUGUUCACCUCUGUAUACUGGUGGGAACACUGUAGUAGGUGAAGGUAAUUUGGGUGUAGGGAUAGCAGGCAUAAGAGAGUUCUGAUAAACAUCCAUUAGAUUUUAGUGUGUUAAAAAGAUCUAAAUAUAUGGAAAAGUCAUAUUUAAACUUUGCAGUCUAUGACAUUUCUACAUGAAACAAAAUGGACAUCAGAAAACUAAGAAAAACGUGAGUACAAACUAAAAGAUCCAUGUUUACUCACUUGUGCUUUAUAUAAGACACUGCUCCUUCGUUUUGCAAACUCAACACAACUGUAUAAAAGUGUGAGGUGAUUUCCUCUACACAGCUUGUGUCAUCAGUAAAAUCAAUCAGCAUUUACACAAUCCCUUUUGGGGGACACAUAACAAAGAAAGAAUAGAUCAUGACUUCAGGUUGAGUUGCAUGAAUGAUACUUAGCACAGGAAAUUGUCAGUAUUUCUAUAUAUAUGAAAUGGAACAUAAAGACAUGUAGACGUACAUUUAUCAGGUCUAUAAGGACAACGAUACUUGGAUCUCUAGUUGUUUUUACAGUGGAGUAACAAUGAAAAGCUCUGUAUUAAAACUAAAUAAUAUGUCUAAUAUAAAAACCUUCACAUUUUGAAAUAAAACUUGAUUUUUUAAA